rnacentral:lncRNA from 1 species
AGCUAACAGAGCGGUAUAAGAACACAGGACCAACUAACAGAGAGCUAUAAGAACACAGGACCAGCUGACAGAGCGGUAUAAGAACACAGGACCAGCUAACAGAGAACUAUAAGAACACAGGACCAACUAACAGAGAGCUAUAAGAACACAGGACCAGUAACAGAGAGCUAUAAGAACACAGGACCAGCUAACAGAGCGGUAUAAGAACACAGGGCCAACUAACAGAGAACUAUAAGAACACAGGAGCAACUAACAGAGAGCUAUAAGAACACAGGACCAGCUAACAGAGAGCUAUAAGAACACGGGACCAGCUAACAGAGCGGUAUAAGAACACAGGACCAGCUAACAGAGAACUAUAAGAACACAGGACCAGCUAAGAGAGAGCUAUAAGAACACAGGACCAGCUAACAGAGAACUAUAAGAACACAGGACCAGCUAACAGAGAACUAUAAGAACACAGGACCAACUAACAGAGAGCUAUAAGAACACAGGACCAACUAACAGAGAACUAGAAGAACACAGGACCAGCAAACAGAGCGCUAUAAGAACACAGGACCAACUAACAGAGAGCUAUAAGAACACAGGACCAGCUAACAGAGAGCUAUAAGAACACAGGACCAGCUAACAGAGCGCUAUAAGAACACAGGACCAGCUAACAGAGAACUAUAAGAACACAGGACCAGCUAACAGAGAGCUAUAAGAACACAGGACCAGCUAACAGAGAACUAUAAGAACACAGGACCAACUAACAGAGAACUAUAAGAACACAGGACCAGCUAACAGAGAACUAUAAGAACAC